GGACACAAGACCUCUUGUUUGGUGAAACCCAUGUCAUUUUCUUCUUAGCAUCGCUAAAAAAAAAUGAGGCAUCAGAGAGAAUGUGGUAUCUGCAUUUAAACAUUGGACUUUUUUUGUAUAGCCAUGUUGUUGUUGCUGAUGCUGUAAUUGCUUCUGUUUGUGCUGUUUGCUAUUAUUGGUGCUGUUGGGCUGUUUUAUGAACC
rnacentral:lncRNA from 1 species